UACGUAGGGUGCAAGCGUUAAUCGGAAUUACUGGGCGUAAAGCGUGCGCAGGCGGUUUUGUAAGUCUGACGUGAAAUCCCCGGGCUCAACCUGGGAAUUGCGUUGGAGACUGCAAGGCUAGAAUCUGGCAGAGGGGGGGUAGAAUUCCACGUGUAGCAGUGAAAUGCGUAGAGAUGUGGAGGAACACCGAUGGCGAAGGGCAGCCCCCUGGGUCAAGAUUGACGCUC
rnacentral:rRNA from 1 species